UACGUAGGAUGCAAGCGUUGUCCGGAAUUAUUGGGCGUAAAGGGUGCGCAGGCGGUUUUUCAAGUCAGAUGUGAAAUAUCCCGGCUUAACUGGGAGGGCCAUUUGAAACUGAAAGACUAGAGUGCAGGAGAGGAUAGCGGAAUUCCCGGUGUAGUGGUGAAAUGCGUAGAUAUCGGGAGGAACACCAGUGGCGAAGGCGACUACCUGGCCUGUUCUUGACGCUGAGGCGCGAAAG
rnacentral:rRNA from 1 species